AGAGCGAACGCUGGCGGCAGGCCUAACACAUGCAAGUCGAGCGCCCCGCAAGGGGAGCGGCAGACGGGAGAGUAACACGUGGGAACGUACCCUUCAGUUCGGAACAACCCAGGGAAACUUGGGCUAAUACCGGAUACGUCCGUAAGGAGAAAGAUUUAUCGCUGAAGGAUCGGCCCGCGUCUGAUUAGCUUGUUGGUGAGGUAACGGCUCACCAAGGCUACGAUCAGUAGCUGGUCUGAGAGGAUGAUCAGCCUCACUGGGACUGAGACACGGCCCAGACUCCUACGGGAGGCAGCAGUGGGGAAUAUUGGACAAUGGGCGCAAGCCUGAUCCAGCCAUGCCGCGUGGGUGAUGAAGGCCCUAGGGUUGUAAAGCCCUUUCGGCGGGGAAGAUAAUGACGGUACCCGUAGAAGAAGCCCCGGCUAACGUUCGUGCCAGCAGCCGC
rnacentral:rRNA from 1 species